rnacentral:rRNA from 1 species
CCUACGGGUGGCUGCAGUGAGGAAUAUUGGUCAAUGGACGAGAGUCUGAACCAGCCAAGUAGCGUGAAGGAUGACUGCCCUAUGGGUUGUAAACUUCUUUUAUAAAUGAAUAAAACGAGGCACGUGUGCCUUUUUGCAUGUACUUUAUGAAUAAGGAUCGGCUAACUCCGUGCCAGCAGCUGCGGUAAUACGGAGGAUCCGAGCGUUAUCUGGAUUGAUUGGGUUUAAAGGGAGCGUAGAUGGGUUGUUAAGUCAUGUGGGAAAGGUUGCGGCUCAACCGUAAAAUUGCAAUUGAUACUGGCAGUCUUGAGUACAGUUGAGGUAGGUGGAAUUCGUGGUGUAGCAGUGAAAUGCUUAGAUAUCACGAAGAACACCGAUGGCGAAGGCAGCUUACUAAACUGUGACUGACAUUGAUGCUCGAAAGUGUGGGUAGCAAACAGGAUUAGAUACCCGGGUAGUC